CAUGUCCUUUUGAUAAUGAUUUAAGGUCUGAUCUGCUCAAUGAAAUUUAAAUAGCCGCAGUAUUUUGACUGUGCAAAGGUAGCAUAAUAAUUAGUUUCUUAAUUAGGAACUGGUAUGAAUGAUUGGACAAGAAAAUUACUGUCUCUUUCUUAAAUUUUUUGAACUUUAUUUUUAAGUGAAAAAGCUUAAAUUUUUAUAAAAGACGAGAAGACCCUAUAGAGUUUCAUAUUUCUAUUACAAUUAGAGCUUAGAAUUGAGUUUUGUUUAGAUUUAUUUGGUUGGGGUGAUUUAAAGAUUGAAUUAAUUCUUUAAUAAUUUAAUUAGUGAUAUCUAAAUUUUAAAUCUAUAUUUAAUAAAUAUAAAAUAAAUUACCUUAGGGAUAACAGCGUAAUUUUUCUUUAAAGUUCUUAUUAAAAGAAAAGUUUGCGACCUCGAUGUUGGAUUAAAAUUAAUUUUUGGUGCAAUAACUUAAAAAUUAGGUCUGUUCGACCUUUAAAAUUUUACAUGAUCUGAGUUUAAACCGGUGUAAACCAGGUUGGAUUCUAUCUUUAGAAUAAUAAUAUAUUUUAGUACGAAAGGACCAGAUAUAUAUUAAAUUAAUU
rnacentral:rRNA from 2 species